rnacentral:tRNA from 1 species
GGUCUGGUGGUGUAGUUGGUUAUCACGUCAGUCUAACACACUGAAGGUCUCCGGUUUAAGUCCGGGCUAGAUCA